UAACGCUGAGAUACGAUGUCGAGCACCUACGGGUGUGAAGUCAUUGAUGCCAUGCUUCCAGGAAAAGCCUCUAAGCUUCAGAUUGUAAGGAAUCGUACCCCAAACCGACACAGGUGGUCGGGUAGAGAAUACCAAGGCGCUUGAGAGAACUCGGGUGAAGGAACUAGGCAAAAUGGUACCGUAACUUCGGGAGAAGGUACGCUCUUAUCAGUGAAGUCCCUUGCGGAUGGAGCAG
rnacentral:rRNA from 1 species